rnacentral:rRNA from 1 species
GAUGAACGCUGGCGGCGUGCCUCAUACAUGCAAGUCGAGCGAACUGAUUAGAAGCUUGCUUCUAUGACGUUAGCGGCGGACGGGUGAGUAACACGUGGGCAACCUGCCUGUAAGACUGGGAUAACUUCGGGAAACCGAAGCUAAUACCGGCUAGGAUCUUCUCCUUCAUGGGAGAUGAUUGAAAGAUGGUUUCGGCUAUCACUUACAGAUGGGCUCGAGGUGCAUUAACUAGUUGGUGAGGUAACGGCUCACCAAGGCAACGAUGCAUAGCGGACCUGAGAGGGUGAUCGGCCACACUGGGACUGAGACCCGGCCCAGACUCCUACGGGAGGCAGCAGUAGGGAAUCUUCCGCAAUGGACGAAAGUCUGACGGAGCAACGCCGCGUGAGUGAUGAAGGCUUUCGGGUCGUAAAACUCUGUUGUUAGGGAAGAACAAGUACGAGAGUAACUGCUCGUACCUUGACGGUACCUAACCAGAAAGCCACGGCUAACUACGUGCCAGCCGCCGCAGUAAAAC